UACGGAGGGAGCUAGCGUUGUUCGGAAUCACUGGGCGUAAAGGGUGCGUAGGCGGGUCUUUAAGCCAGGGGUGAAAUCCUGGAGCUCAACUCCAGAACUGCCUUUGAUACUGAAGAUCUUGAGUUCGGGAGAGGUGAGUGGAACUGCGAGUGUAGAGGUGAAAUUCGUAGAUAUUCGCAAGAACACCAGUGGCGAAGGCGGCUCACUGGCCCGAUACUGACGCUGAGGCACGAAAGCGUGGGGAGCAAACAGG
rnacentral:rRNA from 1 species